rnacentral:lncRNA from 1 species
CUUCUUUUCAAGAAACUCCGGGCGCGGAGGCUGCCGUCCCAAACCCUGAAAUGAGAGGGGCCAAACUUGUAAUGGCACAAGAACUUUAUAUAGUACAAACUACCACUAUUAGAAAAUUCCAAAGCUGCAUCAGUUUUCAUCGGUCAAAGAGGGCUUAAGUUAAUAGUAUUUUCCAAUGGCUAAAAGAUUGUAAAAUUCUAACAUACACAAACAAUAUUUAUGCUGUAAAACAGAAACUUCUAAUUCCAAUAAGCCCAAAAAAAGUCAUACUAAAACAUUAACAAAUAAAGAAAUCCAAAAAAAGGAGGUUGGCACCAUAACUCCAAAAGUCCAUGUCAUAAAUAGUUAUUUUAUUAACAAUAAGCAUCAGACAACACGCUUAUACAAUUAAUCCUACUCAGUAAAUAGUUCUCGAACUAAGAUCACCUCUCCAAGACCCCUUUUCUUCAAGAAAACCCCCAUUCGUAUGCCGCUCAGUUAUUCUCACCGAAUAUUCGUCGAUACAUGUGCGACAUGCAAUUGCACUAAACCACUAAACCCCCUUCCAAGCACCCAAAGAAAGGAAAAAAAAGAUAAACUUUGAUGUGGCAAUGGUUUUGCAUGAAGUGAAAUCAACAGUACCAAACAAUCGAAGAAUAUUAGAAUAAAAUUCAAGAACUCUCCAACCCAAAAAUAAAUAAAUUAAUAGACACAGAGUUUAUUGUUGAAUAUAGGCAGAUACCUUUGGGGACGGCGCCAAGAUGGACUCAAAUAUCCAUGAAGAGGAUGAAGCAGAGGACUCCUUGGACCCAAAAAGAUCAGAAGUGAAUGAAGAAGAAGAACCAGAUUGCUUUCUUUUGUCCAUCCUUCUGUCGUAAGCGCGGAGGAGUAUGUGUACGCUAUAUAGAUAUUCUGUGACGGAAUAUAUGUGCACGCUAUAUAGAUACUAUUUAAUUUCAGUGUGUAUCGGGUUGCAGGUCCAAGAGUGAGGGAGGGAGACCUUCUUAUAUAAAGCAAAACCACCGUCAGAUAAAGGGGCAAAAAAAAUGAAAAAAAGAAAGAAAAAACACAGCCAGGGGAGGGCGAUAAGUAUUGCCGAGAAACCAACAGAAAGUUGAGAGGGAAAGAAAAGGGAGCAAGAAAUGCAAAAGCCAAAGAUAAAAAAGAAAACGAAAAGAAAAAACAAGUAUUAUAACAGAGAAACGGAUGGAAAGAUAAUAGCUGAUGUAAUAGGUCAGGAAAAAGAGAUAAGGGAAGAAGAAGAAAAUGAUGACGAUGAAGGGGGGAAGCAACAAAGGAAGACGAAGCCA